rnacentral:snRNA from 1 species
UAACUCAUACCUUUCUCGGCCUUUUGGCUAAGAUCAAGUGUAGUAUCUGUUCUUAUCAGUUUAAUAUCUGAUAUGUGGGCCAUCGGCCCACACGAUAUUAACUCUAUUUUUUAAGGGAGAAAGCCCGUUAAGAUAGCUUGCUAUCUAGGCUUUCACGAGUCCCCCA